GGAGUAUUCGGGUUCCGGGGGGAGUAUGGUCGCAAGGCCGAAACUUAAAGGAAUUGACGGAAGGGCACCACCAGGAGUGGAAUCUGCGGCUUAAUUUGACCCAACGCGGGAAAACUCACCAGGUCAGGACACGGUAAGGAUUGACGGACUGAAGGCUCUUUCUCGAUUCCGUGGAAAGUGGUGCAUGGCCGUUUUUGGUUGGUGGAUCGAUCCGUCUGGUUAAUUCCGUUAACGAACGAGACCUCGGCACUCCGAAUAGCGCGGCGGACGUCGCGGCCUCCGGGCCGUCUUCCGCACGAGCUUCUUAGAGGGACCGUCCCCCGCCGGGGAAGGAGGUGCGAGGCAACGACAGGUCUGUGAUGCCCUUAGAUGUUCUGGGCCGCACGCGCAUUACACUGACGCGUCCAACGGGUGACUCCCGACCCGAAGGGGCCGGGGAAUCCGCAAGGCGCGUCGUGAUGGGGAUUGAACGUUGCAAUUGUUGUUCACGAACGAGG
rnacentral:rRNA from 1 species